rnacentral:misc_RNA from 1 species
GUAUGCUCAGAUCUUCGAAUCGCGUUCCAAAUUAUCAAAAAAUAAAUGGAAAAUUUCAUGUUUUAGACAUGAGGAUUUUUCUCCUGUAAAUCCCAAAUCUGAUGGUGUUGAACACGGCCUGCCUGAGAAACUGGUGAAGGAGCCUGAACUCGAUAAUUCUACUGAUGUUAAAAGGGAUUGGAUAUCAAGUCUUCGAGAGGCUGCAGAUUUUGUGUUUAGGGCAAUUGGGAGGCGAUGGACUGUACCCUGGAAAGCAGAGACCAUAAUGCAAGUGAUGCUUCUCUGGGUUGUUUCAUUCUGGUUUAUAGGGUCCUGGGUGAUUCCUUUUGCAGCCCACAUGGCAGGUUUCAGCAAGGAAUCUCUGACAUUUAGAGGACAAGCCUUGUUCAGCCUUGUGACUGAUGUAACUGAGGGACUUGCUGGAAUUGCAAUCCUCCAUCAUUGCUUGUCUCAAUUUCGUCCCCUUCCAUCUGAUUGGUUCAGGUUUAGCCUGAAAGGUAACUGGCUAUUUGAUGUUGCUCUUGGAUGCUUCAUGUUUCCCUUGGUCAACCGGCUUUCACAGUUCAACCUUAGCCUAUUGCCUAUUCUACCUUCUACGCCUGUUACAAUGUCAAGUGUUGAGCAGUCAAUUGCAGCAAGGGAUCCAGUGGCAAUGGUGCUGUAUGCGAUAGUAGUUUCAGUGUGUGCCCCUGUGUGGGAGGAGAUAGUCUUUCGGGGUUUCCUUCUUCCUUCCUUAACCAGGUACAUGCCUGUGUGGUGUGCAAUCCUGGUGAGUUCAGUUGCCUUUGCUCUAGC